rnacentral:rRNA from 1 species
AGGUGGACCCACUCCUUCCCUUCCCGAACAGGACAGUGAAACGCCUUUGCGCCGAUGAUAGUGGAUGGACAUCCGUGAAAGUAGGUCAUCGUCAGGC